AUGGCGGACGCCCUGGACAUGUCCCUCGACGACCUCAUCUCCAAGAACAAGUCCUCCUCCCAGCGCGGCCGUGGCCGCCGCAACCCGGCCUCGGGCUCGGGCUCGGGCUCGGCGUCGGGAGGACCCGCACCCGCCGGUCGCCGCUUCCAGGCUCGCGCCGCCACCCGCGCUGCCGCCGCGCCCUACCACCAAUUCAACUUCCCGCCCCCGGCGCCGGCGGCUUUUGCAUAUGCUGCCCAGCAGGCCCAUGCCCAUGCCCACGCCCAGGUGAUGGCCAUGGUGGCGCCGCCGACCGGGGUCGAAACGGGCACCAAGCUGUACAUCUCCAACCUCGACUACAACGUCUCCAACGAGGACAUCAAGGAACUCUUUGCUGAGGUGGGCGAUCUCAAGAGGUACUCCAUUAACUACGACAAGAGUGGAAGAUCAAAGGGAACUGCAGAGGUUAUAUUUUCAAGGAAAUCAGAUGCUCUAGCUGCUCUAAAGAGGUACAACAAUGUGCAGCUUGACGGCAAACCUAUGAAAAUUGAGGUCAUUGGAACAAAUAUUGAGGCACCACCACCACCUGCUAUUUUUACUUUGAAUACCCCGACGAUAGGAAACUUCAUUCCUUCCUACAGUGGCGGACGUGGAAGGGGCGGUGAUGGUGGUCGGGGAUGGCCUCGGGGCAGAGGUGGAUUCGGCGGGCGUAGUGCUGCUGGGCGUGGUCGAGGGCGCGGUGAUGUUGGGCGUGGGCGAGGGAGGGGAGGGCGUGGCAGUCAGCCAGUUUCUGCCAAUGAUCUAGACGCAGACUUGGACAAGUACCACUCGGAAGCGAUGCAGACCAGCUAA
rnacentral:rRNA from 1 species